rnacentral:lncRNA from 1 species
AGAAACAGGAGCCGUGUCCCUCAUCCACCUGCUGCUCUGGUGGCAGCAGGAGAGACGGACAGCACGAGGAGGCCUGACAACGGCGCCAGGAGGGCUUUCGAAAAAAGAUGGGACCCAAUGUUCCAGAUUGAAGCUGCGCCGUCACCUACCUGGUCCUGAGGUGAGGACGAAGUGGAGCCAAGCUGCUUGCCUCCCUGAGGGACGUGGAGUGAGAGCCAGAAGUAAUCCUUUGCUUAAGUGACUGAGAUUUUCAGAGCUGUUCAUUACGGCAGCAAAACCUAGAACAUCCUGACUGAUGCGAGCUACGUAAUACCCAUUUCCCCACAAUAUAAAUGAGGAAACUCAUGCUCAGAGAGGUUCGGCUAUUUUCCCAAGCUCACACAGCUGGCAAAGGAUAGACCUGGAACUUGAACUGAGAAAGCUGAUGGCAGAAUUUGAGCCAUUAACCACAGCCCCGGGACACAGUGGGGAAGGAGCCAGCCAACACUUAGUUCUAAUCCUGAUUGACAUUUCGGGUCUGAGCAAAGACCUACAACUAACUCAUUGCCCUGAGUCUCUUCCUGCUUCGCUAUUCCUAACGCCCCUGCUUAUUUUAAAGGAGUUUAUUCCAUAUGUUUCUGACCCUCUUUCCUUUAAGCCAUUUUAACUGCAUUGCAGGAAGCUGUCUGAUAUCUAGAGAAACUUCUGGGUCGUGAUUUCUUUUUCUCUCUGUAAGAGAAAACCAGAUGUCGCCUGGAGGGAACGCGGCUGAAGCAGGCUCCCGUGGGUGAGGUGGAUGGGGGACUUCACCCAUGUCUCCAUCCACCGCGGCUUCAGAAAGGACAAGAGAAGAGAAAAGAUUUUCAGAAAAAUCCUAAGAAAGCCAGAGUUACAGUAGAUGACAAAAGAUCUCACCUAUAUCGCGGGGGCAUGGGGAAAGCGUAAAACAGCCUGGAGUUGAACUCUCACUUGUCGAUCCCACGAGGGAUGUGAGACCCUUAUCCCCGACUGUCUUUAAGAAAACAAAUCAGGGAGUGGGGCAGGCUGGCGAGGGGGGAGAGACCAGCGAGCGGUUCUCAGACUGGCUGGUUGCGGGGUGUGGGGGACAGAAUGGGGCCCCUCAAAGGACGCCUCAACAUCCUCACCUCAGAACCUGCGAAUAUGACCCGAUGUGGGAAAAGGGUCUUUGCAGAUGCAGUUAAGUUCAGCAUCUUGAGGUGAGAGCGUGCUGGAUCAUCCAGACGGGCCCUACGCCCAGUGUCAAGUGUUCGUACAAGAGAAGGGCCUGGGAAGGCUUGAGUCAGAGGAGAGAAGCCCGCGUGAAGGGGGAGGCAGGCGCUGGGGUGACGCCGCCACAGCCGAGGACGCCAGCGGCCACCAGAAGCUGGGAGAGUCCCUGCCAGAGCCUCGGAGGUGGUGGGGCCCUCCCGACACCUUGAUUUUGACCCAGUGACACUGAUUUUGGACUUCCGGCCUCCAGGGUGUGACAGAAUACGUUUCUGUUGUUUUAACCAUCCAGCGUGUGGCCAUUUGUCAUGGAAGCCCCAGGAGAGCGAUACAGCCAUUUCACCUUGGCUUCUCUGUCUGUGAAAGAAGGAUGGUGACAUCAUCCCUCUCCUGUAAGAACCGAAUGAGAUAAGAUGUGCUACAGUGUCUUGAGGAAGUCAAGACAACAGAAGAAUGAGAAGCCCUUCUCUCCCUUCUUUCCAGAAACAUCUAUGGAG